GAUGAACGCUGGCGGCGUGCUUAAUACAUGCAAGUCGAGCGGCAGCACGACCUUCGGGUUGGUGGCGAGCGGCGGACGGCUGAGUAACGCGUAGGAAUAUACCCCAAAGUGAGGGAUAACUGCCCGAAAGGGUGGCUAAUACCGCAUAUGAUCUUCGGAUUAAAGGAUUUAUCCGCUUUGGGAAUAGCCUGCGUUCGAUUAGCUUGUUGGUGAGGUAAUGGCUCACCAAGGCGACGAUCGAUAGCUGGUCUGAGAGGAUGACCAGCCAGACUGGAACUGAGACACGGUCCAGACUCCUACGGGAGGCAGCAGUAGGGAAUUUUCCACAAUGGGCGAAAGCCUGAUGAAGCAACGCCGCGUGCAGGAUGAAGGCCUUCGGGUCGUAAACUGCUUUUAUGUGCGAAGAAUAUGACGGUAACACAUGAAUAAGGGUCGGCUAACUACGUGCCAGCAGCCGCGGUAA
rnacentral:rRNA from 1 species